GAGAGAGAGAGAGGAAGGAGAGAGAGAGCGCGCGCGCGUUAGGGAACGUGCAGAGAGAAACAUCUACAGGCUAUUCUUAGCUGCAGACAUUUGGAAAUUAAUGGACAGAGUUCUCCCUCCCCCGUCUCUCGCUCUUCCACCCCCGUUCCUCACUCUCUCUGGAUCCGAGCCGAUGCUAGUGCUCUUCCCUCUCGCCCUCUCCCUUCAGUCCGGCAUGCAUGUCACUAAUGCUCAAGGUACGGCCGUCCCUAAUGUCCCUCGUCCAUUGCCAUUGCCGGGCAUUCUGAAAUCAAAUGCACAACUCAGGCUACAUGAUGUGUAAAUGAAAUUGAGUCUAUAUAUGCCUAAAAAGACCCUGUGACUAUAUGAAUGAUAUGAAUAUGGAUUUGUGGUUUCUACUGCUCUUCGUGUUGGGUUGGUGCUGCUCUUUUUGAGAACAGAACGGAAGUGGCGUAGCAGCCCUCCAAACCUCGGUCCAGUGUGAUCUAUUAUAGGUUUUAAUUGAUUGCCGCCCGAAAUAGCCGCCGCUUUGAAUGGUAAAUGAUCAAGAGGACAUGGACUUAAGGGCGACCUGCGAAUUAGUCCAUAUCUGCAGUCAUCAUCUGGUCAAUGUAUAAACUUGAUGGUGAGACAACGUUCUUGUGGGAGAAAGAAGACGACCUAUAUUGGCGCGACAUUAACUGUUAUCGCUUAUCGGGUAUCACAUGAAGCGUGGAUCAAUGUUUUCUUCAGAUGUGCCUUCAGCGGUGAGAGACCCACUGUCAGGAUCUAGGUCUAACAAGGUUGUCUCUAUACACUGUACACUGUCAUUCUUUUGGUGGAAACCCUUUACUUGAACCAUUCGAGUAACCCAACUCAAAGUAUUGCAGUGUUCAAUACUUAUAGUAAUAAAGUGACAUCACCACCCAUAUGGUUAUCUUUUAAAGUUGUAAAUACUUAACUGUUUUGUGUUCUAUUAACUUAUUUGCGUUAUGUAUUCUGAACUAUAACGAUUGAAGUUACUUGAAUAUGAAUAUUUGUUGUAGUGAACAUAACAAUUUAGGGUCCCUUCUACUUAAAUUAUCAACAUUCAUUAGUAAUUGUUUUCAAGUGUUCUGAUUAGUCCUUUUCAGUGGUCGUGUCUUAAUGUUUAACAUUGUUUUAUGUAUUUGAUGAUUUGUCAUUAUAAUCCACCUUACCAGUCAUUGUUGAGCACAGUGCUCAUCCCUCUAGCAGUAACUGGAGGUAGAGCUGUAACCAGUCAUUGUUGAGCACAGUGCUCAUCCCUCUAGCAGUAACUGGAGGUAGAGCUGUAACCAGUCAUUGUUGACCACAGUGCUCAUUCCUCUAGCAGUAACUGGAGGUAGAGCUGUAACCAGUCAUUGUUGACCACAGUGCUCAUUCCUCUAGCAGUAACUGGAGGUAGAGCUGUAACCAGUCAUUGUUGACCACAGUGCUCAUUCCUCUAGCAGUAACUGGAGGUAGAGCUGUAACCAGUCAUUGUUGAGCACAGUGCUCGUCCCUCUAGCUGUAACUGGAGGUAGAGCUGUAACCAGUCAUUGUUGAGCACAGUGCUCAUCCCUCUAGCAGUAACUGGAGGUAGAGCUGUAACCAGUCAUUGUUGACCUCAGUGCUCAUCCCUCUAGCAGUAACUGGAGGUAGAGCUGUACGCAUUACAUUGUGCUGCAUUAGUGGUGGUGGUGCACAUUACCUUCUUGAUGGUGGGAAUGGCUUGUCUCAUUAUCUAACUGUAUUUAGCAGAUUUGAUAUCCGUUCAUCAUGAUCAAUUACACCUAAAACUGCUUAAUACUAUUUUAGAAAUAUACUUUUCUUUCUUCAAUCAAGCCAUGUGGCACUAUUACAUAUUCGUAACUUGCAAAAAUGUAAUAAUUCUAUAUCAUCACAACACAGAUAAAUCAAGUGUUUUGACUCUAAUAUCAAUGUGUCUGACUACUACUUAGUGAUUUUAAGUAAAGAUGUAAAACAUAAUAGAGUCAUGUAAGUACAACUUAUUUAAUACAUGUUAGAUUGACUUUAACAUAUUAACUAAUCAUAACCUUAGCAGAAUACAAAUACAUAAAGUUAUAUUUACUAAAUAAUAUAAUAUUUGUUAACAGUACUCAUAAAACUUUAAGUGAUAUGAAAUCUUAUUGACAUGAGUUAGUACCACUUGUAUGAGUUCUACUGACGGUUGGAGAUGUUUGAGUAGCCACUAAUCAAUUCAUUUAAUGAGUUAGGCAGUUACUUUUUACAGUGUAACCAUGGUAGAAAGGCCAUAGGAGAAAAGUUAACCCUUACCUUAACCCCAACCUUUACAAAUACCAACACUACCAAUC
rnacentral:lncRNA from 1 species